rnacentral:rRNA from 1 species
GACGAACGCUGGCGGCGUGCUUAAUACAUGCAAGUCGAACGGAAAGGCCUGCUUUCCCUUGUGGAUUGCGGGUACUCGAGUGGCGAACGGGUGAGUAACACGUGAGUGAUCUGCCCCCAACUUGGGUAUAAGCCUGGGAAACUGGGUCUAAUUCCCGAUAGGACUGCAGGGUGGUGCCUGUGGUGGAAAACGAUUUUCUAGUGGUUGGGGAUGAGCUCGCGGCCUAUCAGCUUGUUGGUGGGGGAAUGGCCUACCAAGGCGGCGACGGGUAGCCGGCCUGAGAGGGUGGACGGCCACAUUGGGACUGAGAUACGGCCCAGACUCCUACGGGAGGCAGCAGUGGGGAAUAUUGCACAAUGGGCGGAAGCCUGAUGCAGCGACGCCGCGUGGGGGAUGACGGCCUUCGGGUUGUAAACUCCUUUCGACCGCGAGGAAGCCACCUGGUUGGAAGGGUGGUGACGGUAGUGGUAGAAGAAGCACCGGCUAACUACGUG